rnacentral:rRNA from 1 species
AACGAACGCUGGCGGCAGGCCUAACACAUGCAAGUCGAGCGAGGACUUCGGUUCUAGCGGCGGACGGGUGAGUAACGCGUGGGAAUGUGCCCUUCUCUACGGAAUAGCCCUGGGAAACUGGGAGUAAUACCGUAUACGCCCUAUUGGGGAAAGAUUUAUCGGAGAAGGAUCAGCCCGCGUUGGAUUAGGUAGUUGGUGGGGUAAUGGCCUACCAAGCCGACGAUCCAUAGCUGGUUUGAGAGGAUGAUCAGCCACACUGGGACUGAGACACGGCCCAGACGCCGCGGGGAGGGAGCAGGGGGGCAUCAGGGAGAGGGGGAGCAACCCUCAGCGAGCCGGGGCUGGUGAGUGAGGAAGGUCUUCGGGUCGGCAAGCUGUUUCGGUAGGGAAGAGAAGGCCGAAACAAGCCGGAGAACCCGCGCCCAACUCGUGGCCCGCGGCCGCGGAAAAACCAGAAGCAGCACACGUCGGACC